AAUAGCGUAUAUUAAAGUUGUUGCAGUUAAAAAGCUCGUAGUUGGAUUUCUGGUGGGGGCCGCUGGUCCGCCGCGCAAGCGGCGUGACCGAUGCGUGCCUACCGCCAUCCUCGGGGGGGCUUCGCGUGGGAUUAGUUUCUCGUGCGUUUGUCGACCCGUCUUUUACUGUGAAAAAAUUAGAGUGUUCAAAGCAGGCUGAGGCCGUUGAAUACAUUAGCAUGGAAUAAUGAGAUAGGACCUUGGCGGUCUAUUUUGUUGGUUUGCACGCCAAGGUAAUGAUUAAUAGGGAUAGUUGGGGGUAUUCGUAUUCAAUUGUCAGAGGUGAAAUUCUUAGAUUUAUGGAAGACGAACUACUGCGAAAGCAUUUACCAAGGAUGUUUUCAUUAAUCAAGAACGAAAGUUAGGGGAUCGAAGAUGAUUAGAUACCAUCGUAGUCUUAACCAUAAACUAUGCCGACUCGGGAUUGGCGGUGGUUCUUUGUUGGCCCCGUCAGCACCGUAUGAGAAAUCAAAGUCUUUGGGUUCCGGGGGGAGUAUGGUCGCAAGUCUGAAA
rnacentral:rRNA from 2 species